GGAGAGGUGGCUGAGUGGUUGAAAGCGGCAGAUUGCUAAUCUGCUAUAUGGGUUAUACUUCCAUAUCGAGGGUUCAAAUCCCUUUCUCUCCUC
rnacentral:tRNA from 1 species